rnacentral:rRNA from 1 species
UACGUAGGGGGCUAGCGUUGUCCGGAAUCAUUGGGCGUAAAGCGCGUGUAGGCGGUCCGGUAAGUCCGCUGUGAAAGUCGGGGGCUCAACCCUCGGAUGCCGGUGGAUACUGUCGGGCUUGAGUACGGAAGAGGCGAGUGGAAUUCCUGGUGUAGCGGUGAAAUGCGUAGAUAUCUGGAGGAACACCAGUGGCGAAAGCGCGUGACUGGGCCACAACUGACGCUGAGGAACGAAAGCCAGGGGAGCGAAAGGG